GACGAACCGUGCGAACGUUAUUCGGAAUCACUGGGCUUAAAGCGCGUGUAGGCGGGUGACCGCGUCGGUCGCUGAAAGCCCCCGGCUCAACCGGGGAAGCGGCGCCGAAACGGGUCGCCUGGAGGGGAGUAGGGGGACCUGGAACUUCCGGUGGAGCGGUGAAAUGCGUUGAGAUCGGAAGGAACGCCCGUGGCGAAAGCGGCUUACUGGGUCUUUUCUGACGCUGAUGCACGAAAGCUAGGGGAGCAAACGGG
rnacentral:rRNA from 1 species